UGGGGAAUAUUGCACAAUAGGCGCAAGCCUGAUGCAGCCAUGCCGCGUGUAUGAAGAAGGCCUUCGGGUUGUAAAGUACUUUCAGCGGGGAGGAAGGGAGUAAAGUUAAUACCUUUGCUCAUUGACGUUACCCGCAGAAGAAGCACCGGCUAACUCCGUGCCAGCAGCCGCGGUAAUACGGAGGGUGCAAGCGUUAAUCGGAAUUACUGGGCGUAAAGCGCACGCAGGCGGUUUGUUAAGUCAGAUGUGAAAUCCCCGGGCUCAACCUGGGAACUGCAUCUGAUACUGGCAAGCUUGAGUCUCGUAGAGGGGGGUAGAAUUCCAGGUGUAGCGGUGAAAUGCGUAGAGAUCUGGAGGAAUACCGGUGGCGAAGGCGGCCCCCUGGACGAAGACUGACGCUCAGGUGCGAAAGCGUGGGGAGCAAACAGG
rnacentral:rRNA from 1 species